UAACUCUUACACAAAUUAACAAACCCAACCCUUGACCCUCUCCAGCAUUACCCAACGAUCCCCAUCCAACUACUCCUCUGAAAACGACGAAUAUACAAAUUCAUUUUUUUUAGUGAUCAUGAAGGAGUCAUAUAUCAAGCAAGACUAUAUGGUAAGUGAGAUCUUCUUUGUUUUUAAAAAAAUUGGCAAUUCUGGUUUUAAUAUGUGUG
rnacentral:lncRNA from 1 species